AUUGAACGCUGGCGGCAUGCUUUACACAUGCAAGUCGAACGGCAGCACGAAAGAGCUUGCUCUUUUGGUGGCGAGUGGCGAACGGGUGAGUAAUGCAUCGGAACGUACCGAGUAAUGGGGGAUAACUGUCCGAAAGGAUAGCUAAUACCGCAUACGCUUUGAGAAGGAAAGUGGGGGCUCUUCGGACCUCACGUUAUUCGAGCGGCCGAUGUCUGAUUAACUAGUUGGUGGGGUAAAGGCCUACCAAGGCGACGAUCAGUAGCGGGUCUGAGAGGAUGAUCCGCCACACUGGGACUGAGACACGGCCCAGACUCCUACGGGAGGCAGCAGUGGGGAAUUUUGGACAAUGGGCGCAAGCCUGAUCCAGCCAUGCCGCGUGUCUGAAGAAGGCCUUCGGGUUGUAAAGGACUUUUGUUAGGGAAGAAAAGGAUAGUGUUAAUACCAUUAUCUGCUGACGGUACCUAAAGAAUAAGCACCGGCUAACUACGU
rnacentral:rRNA from 1 species